rnacentral:lncRNA from 1 species
CCGGAGGUGGGGCCCGAGUUCCUGUCUCCAGCCCACGAUUUGCCGAUCCAUCUGUCUUCCUCAGAGAGAGAGGGCGGAUAAUGCACACUGCGCUUCCUUGGAAGACGGCAGGCUCCAGGCCAGACAAACGAAUGUAUCAACCAUACAGAUGAAGAGCUGAGGCUCAGGGAAGGAAUUUGCCAAGGUCACGAAGCUGUAAGACACAGAACCUGGGGUGUCUGCCUGCAGAGCUCACACUGACUCUACAGCCACUGAUCCAAAGCUUCAAUGAGCAAGAGAUGAAGUGACCCCUCCAACCCCACAGCUCAGAGUCUUUCUUGAAGCUCCAACUCCAGGGCCAUUGUUUUCCUGUUCUCCCCACUCCAAGGCCUCUCCUCUCUCCUUGGCCCAACUCUCUGACAGUGAUGCAGGUACUUGGCAAAUUUAAAUGGGAGGGACUGCCUUUAAAAACCAACGAACCCCUUCCGAAUGAACAUAUUCUAUUGAAUGCCAUAUGAAGAAAAAUCUAGGGGUUUGUACUCGUUUCCUG